rnacentral:other from 1 species
GUUUAAACGAAAAUUAAUUCCUCUUAGGAAUUGAAAC